CCAGACUCCUACGGGAGGCAGCAGUGGGGAAUAUUGGGCAAUGGGCGCAAGCCUGACCCAGCAACGCCGCGUGAAGGAAGAAGGCUUUCGGGUUGUAAACUUCUUUUGUCAGGGACGAAGCAAGUGACGGUACCUGACGAAUAAGCCACGGCUAACUACGUGCCAGCAGCCGCGGUAAUACGUAGGGGGCGAGCGUUGUCCGGAAUGACUGGGCGUAAAGGGUGCGUAGGCGGCAUAAUAAGUUAGAAGUGAAAUACCCAGAGCUUAACUCGGGUGCUGCUUCUAAGACUGUUGAGCUUGAGUGCGGGAGAGGUUAAUGGAAUUCCUAGUGUAGCGGUGUAAUGCGUAGAUAUUAGGAGGAACACCAGAGGCGAAGGCGAUUAACUGGACCGUAACUGACGCUGAGGCACGAAAGUGUGGGUAGCAAACAGGAUUAGAUACCCCCGUA
rnacentral:rRNA from 1 species